AUAACUAAGCGGAGGAAAAGAAACCAACCGGGAUUUCCCCAGUAACGGCGAGUGAAGCGGAAUGAGCCCAGCGCCGAAUCCGCCGCGGCUAUUAGCCCGGCCGGAACUGUGGCGUGAGGGACGUGGCCAGUCGGCAGGAAGAAUGUCCGAGUCCCCCCGAGCGGGGCCCCUCCCAUAGCGGGUGCCAGGCCUCUGCAGACAUUCAUCCGGUCGGCCGCUGCCGUCCCCGGAGUCGGGUUGUUUGGGAAUGCAGCCCGAAGCGGGUGGUAAACUCCACCUAAGGCUAAAUACCGGCGCGAGUCCGAUAGCGGACAAGUACCGCGAGGGAAAGUU
rnacentral:rRNA from 1 species